rnacentral:rRNA from 1 species
AGUCGAGCGAGAAUCUUUCAUUGGAACCCUUCGGGGUGAAGAAGGAAGAGGAGAGCGGCGGACGGGUGAGUAACGCGUGAGCAACCUGCCUUAAGGAGGGGGAUAACACAGGGAAACCUGUGCUAAUACCGCAUAAUAUAUAUUUACCGCAUGGUAGAUAUAUCAAAACUCCGGUGCCUUAAGAUGGGCUCGCGUCCAAUUAGCUAGUUGGAGGGGUAACGGCCCACCAAGGCAACGAUUGGUAGCCGGACUGAGAGGUUGAACGGCCACAUUGGAACUGAGAAACGGUCCAGACUCCUACGGGAGGCAGCAGUGGGGGAUAUUGCGCAAUGGGGGAAACCCUGACGCAGCAACGCCGCGUGAAGGAAGAAGGCCUUCGGGUUGUAAACUUUUGUCUUUUGGGAAGAAGAAUGACGGUACCAAAGGAGGAAGCCACGGCUAACUACGUGCCAGCAGCCGCGGUAAUACGUAGGUGGCGAGCGUUGUCCGGAAUUACUGGGUGUAGAGGGCGUGUAGGCGGGCAGAUAAGUCAGAUGUGAAAUACCGGGGCUCAACCCCGGGGCUGCAUUUGAAACUGUAUGUCUUGAGUGCCGGAGAGGAAAGCGGAAUUCCUAGUGUAGCGGUGAAAUGCGUAGAUAUUAGGAGGAACACCAGUGG